AUACGGAGGAUGCGAGCGUUAUCCGGAUUUAUUGGGUUUAAAGGGUGCGUAGGCUGUGCGUUAAGUCAGGGGUGAAAUGCCGUCGCUCAACGACGGAGCUGCCCUUGAUACUGGCGUGCUGGAGUACGGAUGCCGUUGGAGGAAUGAGUGGUGUAGCGGUGAAAUGCUUAGAUAUCACUCAGAACACCGAUUGCGAAGGCAUCUGACGAAUCCGUCACUGACGCUGAGGCACGAAAGCGUGGGGAUAGAACAGGAUUAGAUACCCUGGUAUUCCACGCCGUAAACGAUGAUGACUAACCGUCGGCGAUAGACAGCCGGUGGCCAAGCGAAAGCGAUAAGUCAUCCACCUGGGGAGUACGUCGGCAACGAUGAAACUCAAAGGAAUCGACGGGG
rnacentral:rRNA from 1 species